GAGUUUGAUCCUGGCUCAGGAUGAACGCUAGCGGCAGGCCUAAUACAUGCAAGUCGAACGAGCUUGAGUAGCAAUACUUGAGUUAGUGGCGCACGGGUGCGUAACGCGUAUGCAACCUGCCUUUUCCUGGGGGAUAGCCCGUCGAAAGACGGAUUAAUACCGCAUAACACCAUUUGAGGGCAUCCGAAGAUGGUCAAAGCUUUCGGGCGGGAGAAGAUGGGCAUGCGUGCCAUUAGCUAGUUGGCGGGGUAAAGGCCCACCAAGGCGACGAUGGCUAGGGGUUCUGAGAGGAUGGUCCCCCACACUGGUACUGAGACACGGACCAGACUCCUACGGGAGGCAGCAGUAGGGAAUAUUGGGCAAUGGGCGAGAGCCUGACCCAGCCAUGCCGCGUGCAGGAAGAAGGCCUUCUGGGUUGUAAACUGCUUUUAUCAGGGAAGAAAACGCUCUUGCGAGAGUAACUGACGGUACCUGGUGAAUAAGCACCGGCUAACUCCGUGCCAGCAGCCGCGGUAAUACGGAGGGUGCAAGCGUUGUCCGGAUUUAUUGGGUUUAAAGGGAGCGUAGGCGGCCCGUUAGGUCAGCGGUGAAAUCCCAGGGCUCAACCCUGGAACUGCCGUUGAUACUGGCGGGCUUGAGUUCGGUCGAGGCGGGCGGAACUGGUGGUGUAGCGGUGAAAUGCAUAGAUACCACCAAGAACCCGAUUGCGUAGGCAGCUCGCUAGGCCGAAACUGACACUGAGGCACGA
rnacentral:rRNA from 1 species